UGUGCCUGGCCAUGCGUUGCUGUGGCUUAGUCUGGUGGUGUUGGUCAGUCUACAUUAGGUUGUAUUUAUGCUGUGACCUCCACCCUUCUUUAUACUCACAUUAGUAGUAGUAUUUGAAGUCUGUUACCUUCUUCAAUUUUUGUGUUGAUUGAUCAUUGCUUGAGAUCCCCGUUGUCUUUGGUUUGUUGUUAAUCGUGAUGUCCGAUUCUGCUGAGUGUGGUUUAUAUUUUUAUUGUGGUACAAUAGUCUUUUUUUUUUUGCCUGUGUAGGUGUUUAUUAUUAGUGGGUGAGUGGAUGGAUAGAUGAGUGGAUGGAUAGAUAGAGUGGGUGCUCUCCUUGUUUCCUUUAUUCCUAUGCUGUUCCCUUUCUCUGCUCCGAUCCUGAGCUCACUGAUAAGAACACACUGGCCAGAAAGGAGGGUAAAUAUAACCAGAUCAAUGGUCUUUCUCUCCCUUUUGCUCUUGGCCUUCCGGGCAGAGAGAGAGGCCUCUUGUCCUUGGCGUUCCUUCGCUUCCCUUUCCUUCGUUCUAUCCAUCCCAGUCUUUCCUGCCUGCGGAGCCAUGGAACUGGGUCAGUGGGUUGGAUGGCGGGGAAAGGGAGAAGGAAAGGGCCCUAAUUGAAAUGCAUGGACUCCAUGCCAUGGGGUGCUGGGAUUUGUAGUUUGCAUCCAGUCCAACCCCUUUCUUUCUUUUUGUCAUGGAGGAAGACCCCACCCAAACCCCUCAGACAGAUGGCCAUCCAGUUUAGUUGUGUUGUUAUAGUCACAAUGCAUUGUUGUGAGUUUUAUGGGUCCAGAUUGUGGUUUUGUGGUGUGGUUGUGUUGUUACAACUGGGAGGCAAGGCUUUUGCGUUGUGUUGUCAAGUUUUUAUUUGUAGGGUGUUUAGUUGUGUGCCAAGUUUCGUAUUUCUGGGGCAUUAAGUUGUGUUGUUAUAAUCACGAUGCGAUGUUGUGAGUUUUUUGGGUCCGGAUUUUGGUUUUGUGGUGUGGUUGUGUUGUUACAACCGAGAGGAAAGGCUUUUGCAUUGUGUUGUCAAGUUUUGUAUUUCUGGGGCGUUUAGUUGUGUUGUUAUAGUCACGAUGCAUUGUUGUGAGUUUUGUGGGUCCGGAUUGUGGUUUUGUGGUGUAGUUGUGUUGUUACAACCGGGAGAAAAGGCUUUUGUGUUGUGUUGUCAAGUUUUGUAUUUCUGGGGCGUUUAGUUGUGUGCCAAGUUUUGUAUUUCUGGGGCGUUUAGUUGUGUUGUUAUAGUCACGAUGCGUUGUUGUGAGUUUUAUGGGUCCGGAUUGUGGUUUUGUGGUGUGGUUGUGUUGUUACAACCUGGAGGGAAGACUUUUGCAUUGUGUUGCCAAGUUUCGUAUUUCUGGGGCGUUUAGUUGUGUUGUUAUAGUCACAAUGCGUUGUUGUGAGUUUUGUGGGUCCUGUGUGGUUUUGUGGUGUGGUUGUGUUGUUACAACUGGGAGGCAAGGCUUUUGCAUUGUGUUGCCAAGUUUUGUAUUUCCGGGGCGUUUAGUUGUGUUGUUAUCGCAUGAUGCGUUGUUGUGAGUUUUGUGGGUCCGGAUUGUGGUUUUGUGGUGUGGUUGUGUUGUUGUAACCUGGAGGCAAGCCUUUUGCAUUGUGUUGCCAAAUUUCGUAUUUCUGGGAUGUUUAGUUUUGUUGUUAUAGUCACUGCGCAAACAACUUUAUCAUUUUAUAUAUAUAGAUACUAGUUGUGCCCAGCCACGCGUUGCUGUGGCUUAGUCUGAUGGUGUUGGUCAGUCUACAUUAAGUUGUAUUUAUGCUGUGACCUCCACCUUCUUUAUACUCACAUUAGUAGUAGUAUUUGAAGUCUGUUACCUUCUUCAAUUUUUGUGUUGAUUGAUAAUUGCUUGAGAUCCCUGUUGUCUUUGGUUUGUUGUUAGUUGUAAUGUCUGAUUCUGCUGAGUUCGGUUUAUAUUUUUAUUGUGGUACAAUAGUCUUUUUUUGUUUUGCCUGUGUAGGUGUUUAUUAUUAUUGUUGUUGUAGUGGUCAUGAAGGUUGGAUAAGUUACAUGCUACUGUAUUGUUUUUUGGAGGCCCAGUGUAGUAUUGUAUUUCUGGGGCGUUUAGUUGUGUGCCAAGUUUUGUAUUUCUGGGGCGUUUAGUUGUGUUGUUAUAGUCACAAUGCGUUGUUGUGAGUUUUGUGGGUCCAGUGUGGUUUUGUGGUGUGGUUGUGUUGUUACAACUGGGAGGCAAGGCUUUUGCAUUGUGUUGCCAAGUUUCGUAUUUCUGGGACGUUUAGUUGUGUUGUUAUAGUCAUGAUGCGUUGUUAUGAGUUUUGUGGGUCCGGAUUGUGGUUUUGUGUUGUGGUUGUGUUCUUACAACUGGGAGGCAAGGCUUUUGCGUUGUGUUGUCAAAUUUUGUAUUUCUGGGGCGUUUAGUUGUGUUAUAGUCAUGAUGCGUUGUUGUGAGUUUUCUGGGUCCGGAUUGUGGUUUUGUGGUGUGGUUGUGUUGUUACAACCGGGUGGCAAGGCUUUUGCGUUGUGUUGUCAAGUUUUAUAUUUCUGGGGCGUUUAGUUGUGUGCCAAGUUUCGUAUUUCUGGGGCGUUUAGUUGUGUUGUUAUAGUCACGAUGCGUUGUUGUGAGUUUUGUGGGUCCGGAUUGUGGUUUUGUGGUGUGGUUGUGUUGUUACAACCGGGAGGCAAGUCUUGUUUUGUAUUUCUGGGAUGUUUAGUUUUGUUGUUAUAGUCACUGCGCAAACAAUUUUAUCAUUUUAUAUAUAUAGACUAGCUGUGCCCGGCCACGCGUUGCUGUGGCUUAGUCUGGUGGUGUUGGUCAGUUUACAUUAGGUUGUAUUUAUGCUGUGACCUCCACCUUCUUUAUACUCACAUUAGUAGUAGUAUUUGAAGUCUGUUACCUUCUUCAAUUUUUGUGUUGAUUGAUAAUUGCUUGAGAUCCCUGUUGUCUUUGGUUUGUUGUUAGUUGUAAUGUCUGAUUCUGCUGAGUGCGGUUUAUAUUUUUAUUGUGGUACAAUAGUCCUUUUUUUUGUUUUGCCUGUGUAGGUGUUUAUUAUUGUUGUUGUUGUUGUGGUCAUGAAGGUUGGAUAAGUUAGAUGCGACUGUAUUGUUUUUUGGAGGCCCAGUGUAGCACUGACUGGCCUCUCAGCCUCAGUGCCUGGCUGUUUCUUGCCUGUGAUGGUGUUGAUUCUUAUUGUUGUUGUUGUCAUUGUUAUUAUUGUAAUUGUUUUUUUGGAGACCAAGUGUGAAUGUAGGGAUUGGGGAGGUGGAUGAGUUGUGUUGUCAAAUUUUGUAUUUGUUAUAGUCACAAUGCGUUGUUGUGAGUUGUGAGGUUUUGUGGUGUAGUUGUGUUGUUACAACCGGGAGAAAAGGCUUUUGUGUUGUGUUGUCAAGUUUUGUAUUUCUGGGGCGUUUAGUUGUGUGCCAAGUUUUGUAUUUCUGGGGCGUUUAGUUGUGUUGUUAUAGUCACGAUGCGUUGUUGUGAGUUUUAUGGGUCCGGAUUGUGGUUUUGUGGUGUGGUUGUGUUGUUACAACCUGGAGGGAAGACUUUUGCAUUGUGUUGCCAAGUUUCGUAUUUCUGGGGCGUUUAGUUGUGUUGUUAUAGUCACAAUGCGUUGUUGUGAGUUUUGUGGGUCCUGUGUGGUUUUGUGGUGUGGUUGUGUUGUUACAACUGGGAGGCAAGGCUUUUGCAUUGUGUUGCCAAGUUUUGUAUUUCCGGGGCGUUUAGUUGUGUUGUUAUCGCAUGAUGCGUUGUUGUGAGUUUUGUGGGUCCGGAUUGUGGUUUUGUGGUGUGGUUGUGUUGUUGUAACCUGGAGGCAAGCCUUUUGCAUUGUGUUGCCAAAUUUCGUAUUUCUGGGAUGUUUAGUUUUGUUGUUAUAGUCACUGCGCAAACAACUUUAUCAUUUUAUAUAUAUAGAUACUAGUUGUGCCCAGCCACGCGUUGCUGUGGCUUAGUCUGAUGGUGUUGGUCAGUCUACAUUAAGUUGUAUUUAUGCUGUGACCUCCACCUUCUUUAUACUCACAUUAGUAGUAGUAUUUGAAGUCUGUUACCUUCUUCAAUUUUUGUGUUGAUUGAUAAUUGCUUGAGAUCCCUGUUGUCUUUGGUUUGUUGUUAGUUGUAAUGUCUGAUUCUGCUGAGUUCGGUUUAUAUUUUUAUUGUGGUACAAUAGUCUUUUUUUGUUUUGCCUGUGUAGGUGUUUAUUAUUAUUGUUGUUGUAGUGGUCAUGAAGGUUGGAUAAGUUACAUGCUACUGUAUUGUUUUUUGGAGGCCCAGUGUAGUAUUGUAUUUCUGGGGCGUUUAGUUGUGUGCCAAGUUUUGUAUUUCUGGGGCGUUUAGUUGUGUUGUUAUAGUCACAAUGCACUGUUGUGAGUUUUGUGGGUCCGGAUUGUGGUUUUGUGGUGUGGUUGUGUUGUUACAAUCGGGAGGGAAUGCUUUUGUGUUGUGUUGCCAAGUUUCGUAUUUCUGGGGCGUUUAGUUGUGUUGUUAUAGUCAUGAUGCGUUGUUGUGAGUUUUGUGGGUCCAGUGUGGUUUUGUGGUGUGGUUGUGUUGUUACAACUGGGAGGCAAGGCUUUUGCAUUGUUUUGCCAAGUUUUGUAUUUCUGGGACGUUUAGUUGUGUUGUUAUAGUCAUGAUGCGUUGUUAUGAGUUUUGUGGGUCCGGAUUGUGGUUUUGUGUUGUGGUUGUGUUCUUACAACUGGGAGGCAAGGCUUUUGCGUUGUGUUGUCAAAUUUUGUAUUUCUGGGGCGUUUAGUUGUGUUAUAGUCAUGAUGCGUUGUUGUGAGUUUUCUGGGUCCGGAUUGUGGUUUUGUGGUGUGGUUGUGUUGUUACAACCGGGUGGCAAGGCUUUUGCGUUGUGUUGUCAAGUUUUAUAUUUCUGGGGCGUUUAGUUGUGUGCCAAGUUUCGUAUUUCUGGGGCGUUUAGUUGUGUUGUUAUAGUCACGAUGCGUUGUUGUGAGUUUUGUGGGUCCGGAUUGUGGUUUUGUGGUGUGGUUGUGUUGUUACAACCGGGAGGCAAGUCUUGUUUUGUAUUUCUGGGAUGUUUAGUUUUGUUGUUAUAGUCACUGCGCAAACAAUUUUAUCAUUUUAUAUAUAUAGACUAGCUGUGCCCGGCCACGCGUUGCUGUGGCUUAGUCUGGUGGUGUUGGUCAGUUUACAUUAGUUGUAAUGUCUGAUUCUGCUGAGUGCGGUUUAUAUUUUUAUUGUGGUACAAUAGUCCUUUUUUUUGUUUUGCCUGUGUAGGUGUUUAUUAUUGUUGUUGUUGUUGUGGUCAUGAAGGUUGGAUAAGUUAGAUGCGACUGUAUUGUUUUUUGGAGGCCCAGUGUAGCACUGACUGGCCUCUCAGCCUCAGUGCCUGGCUGUUUCUUGCCUGUGAUGGUGUUGAUUCUUAUUGUUGUUGUUGUCAUUGUUAUUAUUGUAAUUGUUUUUUUGGAGACCAAGUGUGAAUGUAGGGAUUGGGGAGGUGGAUGAGUUGUGUUGUCAAAUUUUGUAUUUGUUAUAGUCACAAUGCGUUGUUGUGAGUUGUGAGGUUUUGUGGUGUAGUUGUGUUGUUACAACCGGGAGAAAAGGCUUUUGUGUUGUGUUGUCAAGUUUUGUAUUUCUGGGGCGUUUAGUUGUGUGCCAAGUUUUGUAUUUCUGGGGCGUUUAGUUGUGUUGUUAUAGUCAUGAUGCGUUGUUGUGAGUUUUAUGGGUCCGGAUUGUGGUUUUGUGGUGUGGUUGUGUUGUUACAACCUGGAGGGAAGGCUUUUGCGUUGUGUUGCCAAGUUUCGUAUUUCUGGGGCGUUUAGUUGUGUUGUUAUAGUCACAAUGCGUUGUUGUGAGUUUUGUGGGUCCUGUGUGGUUUUGUGGUGUGGUUGUGUUGUUACAACUGGGAGGCAAGGCUUUUGCAUUGUGUUGCCAAGUUUUGUAUUUCCGGGGCGUUUAGUUGUGUUGUUAUCGCAUGAUGCGUUGUUGUGAGUUUUGUGGGUCCGGAUUGUGGUUUUGUGGUGUGGUUGUGUUGUUGUAACCUGGAGGCAAGCCUUUUGCAUUGUGUUGCCAAAUUUCGUAUUUCUGGGAUGUUUAGUUUUGUUGUUAUAGUCACUGCGCAAACAA